GACGAACGCUGGCGGCGUGCUUAACACAUGCAAGUCGAACGAGAAUCUACUGAAAGAGUUUUCGGACAAUGGAAGUAGAGGAAAGUGGCGGACGGGUGAGUAACGCGUGAGGAACCUGCCUUGAAGAGGGGGACAACAGUUGGAAACGACUGCUAAUACCGCAUGAUGCAUAGGGGUCGCAUGAUCUUUAUGCCAAAGAUUUAUCGCUUCAAGAUGGCCUCGCGUCUGAUUAGCUAGUUGCGGGGUAACGGCCCACCAAGGCGACGAUCAGUAGCCGGACUGAGAGGUUGAACGGCCACAUUGGGACUGAGAUACGGCCCAGACUCCUACGGGAGGCAGCAGUGGGGAAUAUUGGGCAAUGGGCGAAAGCCUGACCCAGCAACGCCGCGUGAAGGAAGAAGGCCUUCGGGUUGUAAACUUCUUUUAAGAGGGACGAAGAAGUGACGGUACCUCUUGAAUAAGCCACGGCUAACUACGUG
rnacentral:rRNA from 1 species